CUAUUCUUCUUCCACUUUCCUUUUAUGGUAUCAGAGCAAGCUCAGCUCGAUCCAAAUUGAUCUCUCAGUUUCUUCUAAAUUUCAUCAAUGGCAGAAGAAGAACUUCCCCCCGCUUCUUCUGCUUCUGUCAACUCUGGUUCAACGUUCAACCAGUCAAGUCACUCCACAAGAUGUAAAUCACCCUUAUUUCUCCACUCUUUUAAUGCACUUGGAUUGAGUCUUGUUACCACACCUUUUGAUGGUAGAGGAUUUGCAGGAUGGAGAAGAUCAAUCCUCAUGGCUCUAUCGGCAAAGAAAAAAAUAGGUUUCAUAAAUGGAGACCUUGUGGAACCAAAACUCGAUGCUCCAUAUUUCCCACAAUGGAGUAUAUGCAACUUCAUGGGGACAUCUUGGCUCUUGAACUCCUUAUCUAAAGAAAUAUGUGACAGUGUGAUCUAUUCCAAAUCAGCAAGGGAUCUGUGGAACAGUCUUGAGCACAUAUUUGGGCAAACCAAUGGAGCCAACUAUACCAGCUUCAGAAAGAAAUAUCCAUGUUAGUUCAAGGCAAUAAUAGCAUUGCAUGAUAUUUUACCACACUGAAGAAACUUUGGGAUGAACUUGAUUCUCUCAACUCUCAUUUAGUAUGUACUUGUGUCUAUGUUUGUGAAGGAAAGAAAAAGAUCACUAAGUUCUUAAAGGAUCAAAGAAUUAUUCAAUUCUUAAUGGGACUCAAUGAUUGUUAUACUCAAGCAAGAGGAAAUGGAUUUCCAGAUGAUUUUAAGUUUACUAAAUCAACACAAGUAAAGUCCAAUGCUACAAUUGAGGGACAAGAUAAUGAGAGUGAAAACAUUCAGAACAAUGAUUCAACAGUUCAAACUCAGCUUUUCAGCAAGGAACAAGUGUCUGAAUUAAUGAAUCUUAUCAAACAGGCUCAAUUUGCAAAUACCACAGGUCCAGGAAGUACAACUAAUGCAAAUGCAAAAGCUGGUACCAUUCUUAAAAUACUCUGGAAUUUGUUUGGCAUCUUUUAACACAAAAACCUGGAUCAUUGAUUCAGGGGCUUCUAAACACAUGUGUUUUGAUUCAAGUUGCUUCUUAUCCCUAGAUCCUCUUUCUGUUCCCAUACAUAUGAGCCUUCCUAAUUCAUUUCAGUUAUAUGUCACACACAUAGGUAGAGUUCCUAUUCAAUCUAAUAUGAUUCUUGAAAGGGUACUUUAUGUACUUUCUUUCAAAUAUAAUUUGUUGUCAGUUCAUAAAUUCCAUGUCCAAUUUCAUUUUUCUCUCACUCUGACUUCUAGUGGGUGUAUUAUGCAGGUCCCUUUAAUGAAGAGGGGACCAGCUUUUGGUGAAUUAAGGGGACGAUUGUACCUGCUGGAUCCUAGGCCAACUAAGUUAGAUUCAGUUUCUAGUUUAAACAACAAUGUUUUAAUUCCAAAAGGAAGUGAUUCCAGUGUUGUUCCUUUUAAUCUUUCCUAUUCUAUUUCUAAUUCCAAUACAGAUGUUUCCAAUGUACUGAAAUGGCAUGUUAGAUUAGGACAUCUUCCAUUUUCAGUAAUGAAAAAUCUUCAGUUUAUUCAUUUUCCUUCUAAUUUUAAUUUUGUGUGUGAUGUUUGUCCAAAAGCUAGGCAAAGUAGAUUACCUUUCCCUUUGAGUCAAAUUAGAACUCAUGAGAUAUUUGAUCUCAUUCAUAUUGAUGUAUGGGGGCCAUUUAAAAAUACUACUUACAAUGGAUACAAGUAUUUUCUAACAAUAGUUGAUGAUUUUAGCAGGGGAACUUUGACUUUUCUUUUAAAUUCAAAGAGCAAUGCCUUAACUAUUUUACAAUCUUAUUUAAACAUGGUGGAAAGAUAAUUUAGAAAGAAGGUAGAGAGAAUCAGAUAUGAUAAUGCACUAGAACUAGGUAAAGGACAUUUUCAAUCUGACGUUUUUCAGUCUCAAGGUAUAUUACAUGAGACUUCAUGUGUGGCAAUACCCUAACAUAAUGAGGUUGUGGAAAGGAAGCAUAGACACCUUUUGAAAGUGGCAAGGAGUUUGUAUUUUCACUCACAAGUUCGUAUUCAACAUUGGGGAGUGUAUAUUUUGACUGCUACACACCUAAUCAAUAGGUUUCCUUCCAGAGUUCUAGAUGGAAAAACUCCCUAUGAGAUUUUGUUCAAGAAAAGACCAAAAUAUGAACAGCUGAAGUCUUUUGGUUUCCUAUGCUAUGCUUCUACUCUAUCACAACACAGGAGCAAAUUUGAUCCCAGAGCCCAAACCUGUGUCUUUCUAGGAUAUGCACAACAGCAAAAAGGAUACAAACUGCUGGAUUUGCGUUCCAAGAAAAUCUUUACUUCAAGAGAUGCUAAGUUCCAUGAAAUGAUUUUACCAUUUGCUACUACUCCUAAGACUUCACCCUCACUUUAUCCUUAUUAUCCUUUCUUCCAUGAUUGUCCUACCACUACUGAACCUAUAUCACAAAACUUACCAUCUCCCAGCACACCCUCUGAACAUCAGUCAGACUCUACUAAUUCCUUUUCUCCUCAAAUUUUUCAUUCCAGCCAUCUAAUCAUAGCCACAGCCCAUCAAGUUCUAGCCAUACUUCUGCUAGUCCUAAUCUCACACCUAAUAUUCCACAUUUUCCCACUAUUUGUGAUACUCCACAAAUUACCAUACCCAUUCCACCUCCUCCACUUAGAGAAUCUGAAAGAAUCUCUCAGAAACCAUCCUACCUUAAUGAUGAUGUAUGUAAUACCAUUGUCUUAACUGAUCUCACCUCAUCAUGUUUCCAUCAUGUUUCUCAACCCCCUGUGUUUUCCUUUAGAUCACUUUCUCUUACAAAUCAUGCUAUUUUCAAUCUACUUCCUCAGUAUCUCAACCUACCAGUUAUUCACAAGCCUCUAAGGAUCCUGGAUGGAUAAGAGCUAUGGAAGCUGAACUCCAAGCUCUUCAACUCAACCACACCUGGGAUGUGGUGUCUUUACCACCAGGGAAGAAGGCUUUGCCUUGCAAAUGGAUUUACAAAGUCAAGCACAAAUCAGAUGGAUCUAUUGAAAGGUUGAAAGCAAGGCUGGUGGUAAGGGGGAAUAUUCAAAGAGAAGGAGUGGAUUAUUUUGAGACUUUCAGUCCAGUGGUCAAAAUGAUCACCAUCAGGUGUUUACUAACUGUAGCUAUAAAUAAGGGUUGGGAGGUCUCCCAAUUAGAUAUUAAUAAUGCAUUUCUGCAUGGAGACCUCCAGGAAGAGGUAUACAUGAAACUUCCAGCUGGUCUUACUUCUUCUCAUCCUAAACAGGUCUGUCUAUUGAGGAAAUCUCACUUUGGUUUUAAACAAGCAUCAAGGCAAUGGUAUGCUCGUUUGGCAGGGGCUCUUAGUUACAAAGUAUACUCUAGUUCUUUAAAUGACUAUUCCCUAUUCUACAAGAAAACAAAUCAACAUGUUUUCAUAAUUGCAGUAUAUAUCGAUGAUAUUCUUAUGACAGGAAAUGAUGAUCAUGAAAUACAACAUAUUACUGAAUUUUUGAAUUCUGAGUUCAAGGUUAAGAACUUAGGGAGUAUUCAUUAUUUUUUGGGGUUGGAAAUUCUAAAGGAACCACAAGGUUAUAUAGUAAGUCAAAGGAAAUUCACCUUGGAGUUAUUGGAUGAAUUUGAUUGCAAAGGAGCCUCUGUUUCUUCUCCUCUUGAUCCAUAUUCUAAGUUGCAUGAUGAUUCAGAACCACUCAUGGAGAACCCCACAAUUUAUCGUCGUUUGGUUAGCAAGCUUAAUUAUCUUACCAACACACGUCCAUAUAUUUGUUUUGUUGUUCUUUACCUCAGCUAGUUUAUGCAAAGACCCUCUCUUUCUCACUUUUCUGCUGGUCUCAGAGUUCUUCGAUACCUUAGAUCAGACCCAGGCCAAGGUAUUUUACUCUCUUCUACUCCCUCUUUUGAUCUUGUUGCCUUUUGCGACUCAGAUUGGGCUGCUUAUAAAGAUUCUCGCAAAUCCAUAAGUGGUUGCUUAAUUACCCUUGAUGGUGCUCCUAUUUCAUGGAAAUCAAAGAAGAUUUCCAUUUCCCUGUCAUCUGCUGAAUCUGAGUAUCGUUCUAUGUGUCGUGUCACUGCUGAAAUUACUUGGCUUUUUCGACUUCUCGCUGAUUUGUCUGCUCCCCCAACUUUGCCAGUGCCUUUAUACUCUGACAGUCAAGCGGUCAUUCAUACUGCUCGAAAUCCCGUUUUCCAUGAACGAACCAAACAUGUGGAGUUGGACUGUCAUUUUGUAAGACAACAAUUUCUUGCUGGUUUGAUAUCUCUUUCUUUCGUCCCUUCCAAAGAUCAAGUCGCCGAUCUAUUUACCAAACCUUUAUCCGGGAUUUCUCACACCAAUAUCUUGAUCAAGCUGGGUGUUUUCUCUCUACCCACCAGCUUGAGGGGGGAUGAUGAAGAGAAGAAGAAAACUAUGGCAGCCAUGGCUUAUUCACUCAACACCAUGAAGGAAGAAGAAGAGUCUACAAAUGAAGAAGGAAUAGUUUUCUCAGACAUAACCUAAAGUUUUCAAACAUAUCUAUGUUAGAUACUCUAGAUAAUUCUUUCAUGCAUAUCAAAUCUUGGCCUUAUACGUGGAAAGAGUGGAAAUACAUGAUGCUUUCAUUUCUACUGUUUGUUUCAAUGCAAAAAUGAUAUGUAUAUAUUAAAUAGAACUCAUGUGACAUGCACAUGAGCACAUAGGAGAGAAUAUUUUAUUGUUUUUUGUUACACUGUAAACAUAUAAGAAUAGGAC
rnacentral:lncRNA from 1 species